GGUUUGUGGCUCAGAGGUAGAGCGCUUGCCUAGCAUGCGUGAGGCACUGGGUUUGAUCCUCAGCACCA
rnacentral:tRNA from 1 species